GAACGCACCUUGCGCUCGUCGGUAUUCCGACGAGCAUGCCUGUUUGAGUCUCAUGAAUCUCUCAAACCUCGAAAGUUUGCGCUUUCGAUGGCUUUGGACUUGGAGGUCUAUGCCGGCGCGAGUCGGCUCCUCUCUAAAUGCAUUAGCUCGGAUCAUACGUGUCGAUCUGCGGUGUGAUAAACGUCUACGUCGCGGCAUUGACACCUCGCUUUUUUGCGAGCUGGUCUGGCUUCUAAUCGCCUUCGGGCAACACAUCUGACAUCUGAGCUCAAAUCAGGUAGGACUACCCGCUGAACUUAAG
rnacentral:misc_RNA from 1 species